CGGCUCCGGGCGAGAGGCCCCUCCAGCUCUGCCGGGCGGCCACGCCCGCAUCGCUCCCGCGCCGGCCGCCCCUCCGGCGGGCCCCGCACCGCCCUGCCCUGCCCCUGCCCUGCCCCGGGCCGGGGACCGCGUACCGCCAGCACGGUGAGCAGCGUGGUCUUGCCCGAGUACUGCAGCCCCACCAGGGUGAGCUCCAUCUCCUCCUUCCAGAACAGCGAGCGCAGCCACUCCAGCAGCCGCGCCACCAGCGACAGCAUGCCGCCCAGCGCCCCCGACCUGCGGCAGGCGCCCAGCCCUAGCGGCACCGCCUCGCUGCUGGGCAUGGGAGCGCCAGGCGAGGCGAGGCGAGACGACGGGGCUCGGGACUGGCCCGGCGGAGGCAGCGGCAGCAGCGGCGGGGCUCCGCGGAGCGCCAGGCAGGGCCCUCACGUGACGGCGCCGCCGCCCUUUUCCGCUGCCAUUCGCCGCAGACAGGGGAGGGGUCUGGGCCGCUCCGGCCCGGCCGGGGCGGGCGGGGAGCGGCGGCAGCGCCCUGCGAGGGGCCGGCGCUGGCCGCGGGCGGUGAUGGAGCGGCGGGGGCGCGGUUCCGUCACGGAAUGGCGGGCGGGGGGAGUGUGAGCGGCCCUGAGGGCCUGAGGCGGCGCACGGAGACACUGCGAGCCCCAGCGAGCGGCGGGGCGGCCCUGGGCACCGCGGGGAUCCCAUGGGGUGAGCAGCGGAUCCCUGAGGAGUGCGGCAGGAUGGGACAGACCUGCGCCAUGGGUGGACUGUACAGCAUCCCACAUCCAGCAAGGGUGGCCGAGGGCCGCGCUUUCUGCACUGGCUUGCAAGAGUUGUCGGGCUUGGGCUGCUUGACAGGAUCGAUUUCCUAGGUCCUUCACCUCCAGCGAUAGCAGUUCUCACACCCCUGGGUUAGGACCUCCACUCUUCCCAUGAAACUCUUGUUGAAUUGGUCGUCGUGUAGUGAGAGGCUUUCAGGUCCAGGGCUUGCCAUGGUUUUAUUUCUGUUCUCCUGUGACAAUUUUGGAGAGUCAUGCUUAAUAUGAUUCCUUGCCUCAAGAGAUGAUUGUGACAGUAGUUUUGUAUUGUGGCCAAUGACAGGACAUUCCACUUCACCAGGAAUCUUCUGCCCACAUUGGAUAAGCAACAUUUAGCAUACAGUAUUGCCACACAGUGUUAGGGAAAGGCUUUUUUUAUCCAUAAACACAGAGCUAACACUUCACCUGGAUCCAUCUGCCAGUCUCUGAAGUUGUAACUGAAAUUAUGUGUGAUGCUCUGUAAAGGUUGCAGUGCUGUUUGUAUUGGUUGAUGAAGGACAUUCAUGCAAGUAUAAAGAAGGCACACAUUGAAUGUGGAUACCUCUACUAUUGAAACAUAGCAAAUUCAUCAAAACAUUUUGAAAUUGGGUUUUGUGGUCAUUUUAGAGACAUAAUUCAGCAAUUUAGAGAAUGAGGUUUGUGACAAAACCUCACUGGUUACAUCAGUCGGGCCACAAAAUCUGAAAGGUCUUGAGACUGCUCUGAAGAGCAGUUGGUUCUGGGCUAGCUGUAGAGGUGAAAAACUUCGUGUUUUUUCAUGCCUCGGUAUUAGAUAUAGUCAAAAUUACUCAUAGUGUAAUUCUAACAGAUUUUUUUUUUUUACAGAUACUCAUUUAUUUGCCCUUGUAAAUUUAAUUGUGCAUUUCCAAAAGGAAAUUGGACACUGGAGCUGGCCCUGCUACCCAGUGGGAUUAUUUUUCAUUGCUUCUCUUAAAUAUGUCAGCUGUCCUCCUGAUUUUGUGUUCAAUGGCAAGUCUCAAACAAAAGAAGGCUUUUUUUUUUUUUCAUUUUUCUGCUAUGUAUCUUUUUAUUUUUAAAAGUUUGCUUUGGCCAAAGCAAUUACCAAAUUUUGGGUGAAUAGGUGAAAUGUUUCUGGCUGCCUUAAAGCUGAUAAAUGUAAUAAUUUUCACCAUCUCCAUAUAUCACUCAUCUGGUGAUGUGUGGAAUAAAGACCAUCCGUUUGUGAGAGUGGUUUCUGGGAAUGAAGUGGUUCUGAUUACUGCAUGGGUGAAAACUCACAUAAAAUUGAGCAGUCUCUAGAAUUUUUGCAAGAAGUAUUAGAUUUUUCAAUAGUACUUAAGGCUCAUAGUGAUGGAAGUUUAAUAAGCAAUAUAUUGCAGAUACAGUAACAUAGUCUCAAAAAGUACAUUUCGGGCAUAUCCUCAUAAAAGGCUGGCAGAGGAUGUACAGAUAAAUUCUAAAAUAUUAAUUUAAUUGUACAAUGACUGAAGUCUUUUACAGUAUCCAGGGGUCAAAAAAGUACAUGAAAAAGUCUUGGAGGGUUUGUCCCAGUUCAAAGGUCUGUUACACUGUUCUAAAAUCUGUUACAUCUUUUGCAAAGCUAUAUGAUUGUGAAAGGCAAUUCUUUAUUUUACAGGCAGUUUGGUAAUAGAAUAUUGUAUGUAAAAAUAUUGCUGCCUUGCUAAAAUUACCAGCUCAGAGGACAUUUGUUCUUGUCGCUAAAAGCCUGACCUGGGGCCACAAUUCGUUAUCCUGUGUGACUGUAGAAAAGUCACUUAAUCCUUCUGGGAAACAUUUUACUACUGAUAAAGAAUUUCACUUUUCUGUCUUGUCUAUUGAGAUUUACACAAUGCAGGACCAGUUUAGCAGUGUUACGGGACCAGGCAGCACCUAACUUACUGGGUCUUCCAGUGCUCUGUCUCUGAAGGGGUGCUAAAGCAGCUUACUCCAUUGCAAAGACUUAUUUGUGCUAUAUAACAAUGUAUCUUAUGUUUCUGGUGAAAUUGUGGUGAUGCUAUAAACACAUGGUUAGCAGAACUUGACCUGAAUUCACACUGCAUAUCCAGAUGUUUCACAUUUGGGGAGGAACGAAGUAUUUGAGACUCAGUAUUUCAGAGCACUACCAGAGAUCAGAUCACAUUCUCUGUAGUUUAAGCAUGCAUUUUAGUGACAGUUGAAGAUCAUAGAAUCAUUACAGUUGGAAAAUACUUCCAUGAUCAUCAAGUCCAACCUUUGACCUUUUCAACUAGACCAUAGCACUAAGUCCAUGUCCAGUUGUUUCUUGAACACUUCCAGGGAUGGUAACUCCACAACCUCCCUGGGCAGAUCUUAAGGAGAAGAAAACUUCAGCUGAAUGAAAUCUCCAGAGAGGAGAGCAUGAGAAGAGGUAAUAUCUCACUCAUAUUUUCACGUUUGUCCUGAUAUACCAAAUGUUUGUGAAAAAAACCUGUCGAAUAAGUCGUGCAUCUUUUCUGCCAUUGAGUCACUGUGUUAGGGAGUGACUAGUCCUCUUUUCUGUUUGUAGACCAGAGUCAAGCAGCUGUGUUGCUGAAGGGAACAGAAAGACUGUGUUGAACUUUUCAGUGAGCGUCUUGUGAUGUACCCACUGGUGUCUGCAUGCAUCAUCCAUGUCCUCUGCUAGCUGGAGCCUCAGAGGCUCUUUAGUAUGUACCUUAAAUUCUGGUCACACUCCAGUGAGGGAAGAGGUGAAAAAGGAUUCCUGUAAGGAUUGUUAUGCUGGUAGAGCGGGGCAGAUUAAGGCUUUUAACUCAAAAAUGCUGUGGUUUGAAUACCUAGACUUGGUCUCUGCAGUUCAUGCUGAAACAAUGCAUAGGAUUUACAGACAGCCUAAGUCUGUUAUUAGUCCAGCACCCUUAAUUACUGGCUGCCCCAAAAGUAAGGUAUUUUGUGCUUUUGUUGUGCCAUUAACCAUUUUAUCGUUUUGGGACUGCAGGAUGCCCUUAGCCUCCCUUUAAAUGGGUGGUUGUUAUGUCCCUGCCUCAGGAAAUCACCACUUGACACAGGCAAGCUGUCAUCUUGUCUCAACCUGCUAUUAGCCUGAGGGAGCAGUGUCCUCCAUGAGACUGCCAAAAUAUAGUAUAUUUCUUCUGCUGGAUUUUGAAGUUCUGUUGAAUAAAUAUAUUUCCUGAUAUGAAAACAAAGGCAGAAACAGGUGACUGCAUGUUGUCUAGUGUCCACGUGUAUAUACCGCUGAACAUGACCAUCUGGAAUUGUGUGCACAGAGCCAGAAUGUUGGCUGAAUAUAUAAAGUAGUGAUUCACAUUAAUUUUCAUACUGUCUGUUUGUGUCUGAUUGCUAAUCAAUAAAUACCUUAUCAGUUAUAAACUAAGGGUUAUACAAGCAUACACUGAAAAAUGUCAUCUAAUUACUACUGACCAAGGGGAACUAUAAUCAAUAUACCAUGAUGCUGAUAACACAUUAGUGAGCAUAAUGAAAUCCGAAGUUAUUCCCUUAAGGAUGCUAAUAUUGAUAGGCGCCCUUUACCUCCUUGCCCUUUACUUUCUUGUGUAUAACAAGGGGACAAUAAAUGGAAGCCUUUGCAGUCCUGAGUAGUACUGACAGUGAAAGGUAGCUGCAAAAGGUUCAGAACAGCUACACAAAAGAACGGUUCUAUAAAAACCCAGAUCCUUGUCUGGUAUGCACAGUAGCUUAGGAUUGAUCUUGAAUAUGAUCUGUUUACAUGACCAUCAUCAUAAUGAAAAAUAUCAUGAGGCAGGGUUAAUUUUCAAUGGAUUCUUUUCAGAAAAACACACAGAAGGAUCUGGGAUAGCCAUACAUUGGGAAUCACUUAGCAGUGGUAAGGAAUGAAGUUAGACUAGGAAGCUUUUUGAAUCUCUUUCCAGCCACCUAUACAAUGGUUUUCAGUAGCACAGGAGAAAAAAAUGCCAAGCAAGAACAACAACAAAACGUUAAGGAAGAAGAAGUUGUUGUUAAAUAAAGCAGUAAUUAUUAUUUUCUUUUUUUUUUUAAGGCAUGCAAUAAACAUUUUUUCCUAUCAAUGUUAUUUUUUGGAAAGAAACUCAUUACUCCAACUUGAAAUCUCAGACCCUAGUUUUGCGGGCUGUUCUGCUUUGGCAGAAUGGGCAUCUGCCAGUGCAAAGGAGCUGACACAAGCACAUUGUGAAAAAUCUUCCAAGUUUUAGGUAUGCAUGUUUGAAGGAUGGAAUUUAGUUGUCAUCUUAAAAAGGUCAUCAGUGCUCCAUAACUGAAUAUGUUUUAAAAUUAUAUAACUGUCUUUGCUGUCUUGUUGUUGGUAUUGAAAAGUGAUGGAUAGGUACAGGUACAAAUCUAAUCUGUCUGGGAGUUGUCUAGUACCUAUUGCAUAGGUCUGAAAUCUUCCACACAAUUCUUUGCUGAUAUAUAUACAACAUGGUGUCUUAGUGUGAUGCAGGGAUUAAAGCAAAUUUUGCUGAAUUCCUUGAGAUGCUAGUCACAUCCUAUGCUGUCUACAAAGUGGUCUUACUGGCCUCUCAAAAUAUUUCUCCAUGUUGCUAUUUUUAAUACAGAAAAGCAAAAAAAAUGGAAGACAAGGACUAUGUUUCACUUCUGUUCAGUUUCUCUAAGUGUCAACUGCCAUCUCUCUUUGAAGUGCCAAUAUCUUUAAGUGUCCCAGGAUAAGCAACACAAUAAAUCAGACUCAGAUUCUUCAGACAGAAAAGCAGAAUUUCAGUUAAAAUUUUAGCAAAAUGUCUAGACAUUGAAGGAGGGCAUUCCAGGUAGUUAAACUGCUUUCACUUAGACUCUUUCAUCAAACUCACUUUAGCAUUCCCUGUCCUUAAGUAUUGCCAGUCUGAGUUCAGCCUAGAACAGAAGUACGAAAUAAUGAAUGGCAAUCAAAGUGAACUGUUCCUCUAGUAUUUAAUCUUUUGAAAAAUACAAGAACAUAAGAAAUUAAAAUUGUAAGGCUAACUAAUGAUUACAGGAAAUACAGUAAAGGGAAGGAAAUAUUUGUGGAAGGGGGUCCACUUUAGGAGAAUACAAGUUUGGCUUUGAACAUAAGAUGGUCACCAGCAAUGGUGAUGGUCACCAGAUGGUCACCCCUUUCCUUCUUUUCUGCUUUUACUCCAUGGGGACUCAUUGAUUCCAUGGUGACUCUUAAUCAUAGAGUAUAGGUAAGGCAAAUGUAAUACAGAGCAAAGUAAUAUAUUUGGAAAAUGUUGUAAUUUAACACAUAUCAGACCUAAUUCCUGAAGUUUGUAAGAUUUCAAGCAUGAAUUGCAGAUACGUGUAGGUAACAAAAACAAUCCUGAAGGAACAUUUAAAAGGGGGUUGGUAAAGUAUGCAUCAGAGCACAAAAUAGAUAGGUACUUAUAAAUGCAUCUUAGGAAGACACAGUUUAUUGCAAUAGUCUGCUUUCCUCUCACCUUCCUUUUACUUUUCUGGUCCUGGCUGCUCUCAAAAAAAAAAAAAAGAGAUGGGAUCAGAUGAAUAGGUCUAACAUAUCAGUUAUUGUGUUCUGUUAUCUUUACAGUGAGCCUUGGGGAAAGGUUUUUAACAUUAAGUACUUGGUAGAUAAAAACUGUUGAAUGGAAAGAGACUGGUCUAUCUCCACAGCUUCACUCUUGCUUUUGCAUUUAACUUCCUCUGCGUCCACUAGGUGGUCCUGGGUGCUCUGUUUCAUCUCUUCUGUGAUUUUAACUUCUCAUUCUUUCUUUUCUGGUGAUUUCCUGCUUUCUCCAUCACGAGUGUUUUGCUUGCUAUUACUUGGCUGAUAGUGAAAAUAUUUACGGCAAGACUUGUAGAUUUUGCGAACCUGCAAGUGGUCUUAGCACAAAAUGCUAUAGAUCCCGUGUCUUUCAGAGCUCUGGAUAGAAACAAGCCUGACCUCAGGAAGCUUUACCAGACAUUUAACAAAAUUGCACAGCCUUUAAACUAGAACUCUGUGUACCAGCAUAAAAUCUUAGCCAUGUUAAGGCAUUCUGAAAAAAAUCAAAGUUCAUAUAAGUCAUGAAAGUUUUGCUAAGAUAUUACCAGUCAUGUUUCCAGUGAAAAAGCAUGUUUUGACAAAGGUGAUCAAAACCAGCUGGAUUCUUUUCUGCUGAGCAGUCUGUUACAUAUAUAUAUAUAUAUAUUUAUAUUUGUGAUUCCACUUGAAACAUUAAUGGCAGAAAUAGCUUUGACUCGUGGACUUAUCACCGUAACUGGAAUGAGAAAAUUGUCACAUCCUCUUGAUAACUUGCUGUUCAAAAGCCAUAAAACACUAUUUCUCCAUGUUAAGUCUAAAGGCUUCAUCUAUUUUUCUGCACCUCUGUUAUGACCAACAACCUGAAAAUUCAAAGAGAAUGAAUAUAAUUUGUGUUUUCUGCUGGAUUAAGGAAUGAACUUUUUAUAAACAAAUGACUACUAUGAAAUCCUUGUUAUUUUCACUAGUGAGGCAGGCUCUAUCUGUGGAAGGGGGUGAAUUAUUUAUGCAGAUCAUGCCUAGCUCAAGGGGGAUUUUUUAAUGUAUCCAUGCCAACAGCCACUCUUCACUCACCGGAAGUCAAACUGUCUAUUGAGCACCUGACAUAAUAAUUUGAAAAGGUUAUUUUAUCAAAUAAACUGCUGUUAAUUGCUUCUAAAUGCUUAAACUGACUAUAUGUAAAUCAUAACCAGAUUCCUGAUAUGAUAUUGGGAGUACUUUUCUUCUGAGGUAUCUCUGCUACUUUCACACUGCUUUUGGCAAUGGAAUAGUAUUAAGCAAAUACUUUCAGUAUUUGUCAACAGUUCUGUCAGCAGACUGGAUCAAAAAGGUGGUUCUGAGAUUGAGGACCAUGGGAAGUGAAUAAAGGGAGUCCCAGGUCCUCAGAGUCACUCAUCUUGCUGCCUCCACUGCUGGGUUUUCCUGAGGAGCAAGUUGGUUUCCACCAAAGAAAAUAUGCUCAGGAAAUAAUGAAGCAUAAAGUCCCAUGUUCACAGACUUUUGUCCAAAUACAGCCCUAUCCAAUUGCUAGGGGUGGCUGGAUGGGGAAACUGGGACUGGUGACCAGUGCUGGCAGGGAGUGCAGAAGCAGAGCAGAUGAGUUGUCAGCAUUGGCCAGAUAAAACAACUGGAAGCCAAGGAAGGGACAUCUGAAAUAAGGGGGAAAGUUCAUGAGAAGAAAGGAUAAACCAUUACAGCUCAAAUUUUAACUAAUGAAGCUGUAAUAUUUGAAGUCAACAAUUACAUUAAACUUAGAACCUUUUGAAGAAUUAGAAAUAUAUUUAAUUACAAGAAAAACCACAGUGUCCCUAUAGAUAUUGUGAAAAGUGGAGAAAUAUUACAUAAGAUAAAUUUUAUGCUACAAAGUCCCACAGAUCUAAAGUUAAACCAAAUAUUUUUAAGAGCUAAUUCCGUUCAUAUGGAAUGAAAUUAAUUCUUGCAUAGAGCAUCAAACCUGAUGAAUUAUUUUAUGUAUUAUAUAUUUAACUGUCUUGACUGGAAGUACACAAAACAGCAUUGUCACAAUUUUUUUUUUAAAUAUAACAGUAAAAAAUGUAAACUGUAGAAAAUGUUUUGUAUUCUGGAUUAUCCUCUCAUAUAGUAUAGUCAGUAUAACAGACCAGUAUGUCUUUGGCACAAAUAGUAGUUUAUAGAACUAAACUGAAGAAAUACAUUCAAGCUGAAGUGUCAUCUAUGAAUUAUGAAAAGUUACCUGAUACAGAUAAGACCAUAAGCCUUUAGGAAAUUGUUUGUUUGUUUGUUUUGUAAAUAAAACCUUUAGAAUUUCAAACAUAGCCAGGGAAAAGAAUAUUCUCACUUUCAUGGGUCAUUUGUAUUAAGGUUCUCAAAAGUACAAUUAAGCAAAACAGAUUAAACAUCUUUAUCUUAUAGGAUGAAGAGCUACUGAAAGUACGAGUAUCAUUUGCUUCUAAAUCAUAUCUACUGGCAGCUGUGACAGUGUUAUAUUCUGCAGUUGUUAUAUUAAGUGUAUUAUUUCCAAAGGUAGAUUGGAAAUCUUCUAUUUCAGGAUGUGUAGGUAAUGUCACCUUACUCUCAGAGGCAAAUGAAAAUGCAGUUCUGUUAGACAGGAUCUUUUCUUCAGAGGCUUCUAUGUUAGAAAAGGAAUUUGGGGAUAUCUGAAUGCAAGUAUCUUCUGAAAUGCAAACAUGGAGGUAAUGGAUGUCAUUGAUAUCAGCUCUAGGUUCACAGCUGUGCCCUGCAUAACAGUGGCAAUCAAAUUUUUCUAUCAAUGUUUGCAGAUCCUGAAACGAUGGUUGCCCUUGCAGACUGUAUUUCCCAUCCUUUGUCAUUUGAAUUACAAUAUUCUCAGGGUUCAAGUGAAGAUAGUCACUGGAAUUCCAUUUUUUCCGUGCACAAGCACCAGAGUCUUGGCAUAACACUUGGCUACAGAUUCUGGCUGCCAUUGUGACGUUGAUGAGGUAUGGGGUCAAAGUCCUUCUGAGGUAGUUGUCCAGAAUUCUACAGGUAUUCUGUGAAAAGAGCAUCAUACCUCUGUAGUUUAGUAUGGAAACCAUUAAAAUGCUAUCAUUCCAAUAACAGUACCAUAGUGUAUAUUUAUAAUUGUUUCUCCUGAGGUUUUGAUAAUAGCUAUAACUGGUUGUUGGAAACAAGUUUAUCUGAGAAGCUGUUAUAAAAUUCAAGGAUCACAGCAAGUUUAUGUUGUGUAGUUGCUGGAGGUGUUACAAAAAGCAGACAACUUUAAGCUUUCAUUCUAUCUCUAUAUUUCAUGUAGUUUUUUUAAUCAGAUGCAUUUAAAGAAGUUUCAGGAAGGAUUGAAGUUCCUUUUAAUGUCUCGAAUAGUUCAAAGGGAUCCAGUGAAAAAACCUCACUUCUUCAGCCUGAACAAAUAUUUUUUCUCUCAAGCCAUCUCUGUGAGACUCUUCAGAUUUCCCCUGGCCUGAAUAGCUAGGCUGCAGGGUAGUGAGCUUUCAUGGCAUUUUGGAAUUGAAAGAAUUUUGGUUGGAUGAUCAAACUGGAAGUAUACUGAGAGAAUACUAAGAGAUCAUUCUAACUGAUUAUGAAAUUGGCAUAUAUUCUGUGUAUGCUUAGCACAGUUUAAUAACGAGAGGUUUUGGGAACUCUUUCUUUGUUUCUGACACUGUGCCUCCUUAGAACAUUUGCCCAAUGCCACAUAUAGAUUCAGAUAAUGUUGAUAUCCAUGGAGAUAGCUGAGGUAUAUGUAGGGUUUUUUGUUUUUCUUUUAGGUAUAUAUAAAAACACAAGAAAUUUUGGUUGAUGCAGAAGUACAAUAAUAUUUAAUUUCUGAAGGGCUAGUUAAUGUGAAAAAACAGGUGCAAUUAGUGCACAAAUGCAUAGUCUGACUGGGCUGUGGAAAGUUCAUUUAACAGGAAUUUCAAAAUUCAGGUAAUAAAACUUGCUGCUCAUCUAUGUUAUAAUAUUGGAAUAAUGGGCAAAAAAGUUCUAGGUGCAACCUGAUAUCCUUUCUCAGGGGCAGGCACAUACAAAAAGGUCAAAGUGGAAUGCCUUGGUGAAUAAGACUCUUACAGAGCUGUGGAGGUUUAUUUGGCCAUGCUUUCUGUAACAGGAGGUGUGGCAGGGCUGAAGAGUUUCAGUUCUUUGAACACAAAGGACUUCACUAGAGUCUUCCCAGUUCGUUAUAUCUAACUUGCCUGGUUAUGAAUGAACUAGCUAGAAAGAUUUUUUGAAAUAUCCUUGUAAUAGUGUUUCUCAAACUAUGUAUUUCCCCUUCCUAAAAUAACCUAGAGGUUUUUCCCUCUUCUGACUCAGAUCUUUCAUACAAUUAAAUGAAGUAGUACUUAACAACACACAGAACAGGCUAGGGCUGAAAUUUUACAGACUGACUCCUCCUAGCGCUUUAAAUGUUAUUACCAAGUGCAUUCAAAAAGCAGAAGGGUCUUCUAAAAAUUGUUCUGGGCAAAACCAAGUAAUUUUUUCUUUAUCUCAUGACUGGAAUGUAAAGAAGAUAUAGCAAUUCUUUACUUACAUUAAUUAAACAAGUGCUAACUUGCCUACAGUUAUCAUGAUAGUUUGUCCAGUUACUCAGGGCCAACAGCACUGAUACUUUAAAAGAUUGAACUCUUGUUCUGUGAAGUCAAUGAUGAUCUUCAUAAGCCUCAGAUGUGCUUGGGUUUUGACUAUAGAAAGCUGCUGGCAAUAUGGAAUCAUCAUUUUAAAAGUAGAAGAUAUGAUGUAAGUAAUCAAAAUGCUUUAUAUCCUCUCCACUUUAUUGCUUCUUAAAAUUUUCAUAUAAUAAUUGACCUGGCAUACCUUAUUUUGUGUUAAAUUCAUAUCACCCCAGAUCACAAUUCCAGAAGCACCCAGUGCAGCAGAUUCUCCAAUGGUAUUUACCAGGUCAUCCUGAGGGAAAAUGUGCAAAGAAUCAUACUAACACAAGGGCAAAAGGUAUAAUGCAUAUAGAAAUUGCAUAUCCAAAAUAACUAUUUUGAAGACAGCAAGCAAUUAUACAUGGUGCAAAUGUUUUACUCUCAACUGCACAAUUUUAUUCUGGGAUUGAAUUGCACAGGUGAUGCCAGAAAAUGUUGCCAACUAUAUCCAAUUUAUAUAUGUCAUCUGUUAGAAAAACAAGGCUGUAAAACUGAGCCAGUGGUUAGGCAUAUGACAUACACUCCUCCAACCAUUCUAAGGUUUAUUUUGCUGCAUUGCCUCCUUACUGCUCAGAGUUGGUAGCAACGGGUUUCAGUAAUGUUGUGGGAAGAAGAUGUGGAAAGCACAGCUUUUUUUUUUUUUUUGAACUUAAUUCCAGUUACCAGGAAGUGCUAAAACAGAAAAGUAGCAAGAGAAAGAGCUUUCACCAGCAAGAAUCUCUCUUCUCCAGAGAAUGGCUCUGGCCUUUUACAGAUAUUGAUUGGGGAAAUUUGUUUCUGUUCAGUUCUCCUUUUAGGGUCAGCUAUUAACACAGUCCUAGCAAAAUGUUGAAGCCUAUCUGGAUGGGAGAGGACUAUGGUAAUGAAAAGAAUAAUAUAAAAACAACUUACUAUGGGAGGACAACACUAGAAAAGGAUUAAUGUAAAGAUUAUAGGAAUUAAAUUAUUAAGUAGGAUCCCAGCAGGGCCUCUGACAUUACCCCUUGCUCCCUGAUAGUAUACACAGCCUGGGGGGAAUGCCUGCUGAUGUUCUAUCGAGAAUAUGAAACGACACCAGCUACAAUGCCAUCAGCAGGACCACAGCGUCUAACUUCCUCUUCCUCAUGUCCUGGAACACCAGGAAGAGAUUCCCCAGAUCGAUGGUAUCUCUGAUGGGGUGAGUGUCUGUAAAAAUGUGAAGGAAAAAGUAUAGCCAGAACUGCAAUAAGAUGAUUGGAUCUUAAUCAGAGCCUAACCUUAACUAACCCAUGAGAUGCUGAAAUACCAUUUAGAAAGCUACCCAAGUACAACUAAGGACAGAAUUUUCUAACUAGCUUUUAACACUUUUUAGGGAAAGAAAGACUCCAUUUUAUUGUAGUUUUUUCUUAUAACCUAAAAUGCAGGCAUUAGAUCAGCCCAGUUUUAAUAAUUCUCUUUGGAAGAGGUUACCCAUAUUUCUUUCCUCUGACUUAAUGUACUAAAUAUGCUUUCUAGCUUUGUAAUAUUUUGUUACAUGUGAGGACAACUCAGAGAAUAAAACACUAUUUGAUAAAUAUAAUAAGGUUUGAAAAUAGACCUCAGUGUUCUGAUUGAUGAAAUUUCUUUGAUGGAUGAAUUUAAUUUUUUCUAUAAAAUUGCACACCUUUUUCUGAUACAAGUUAGCAUAUUUGCUAAAUAAGUGUCACCUGGUAAUUUCUUUUCACAUAAAUUUGAAAUAUUUAGGGUCUAGCUUCACUCACCUCAGAGAGAUAUUCCUCAUAGACAUCUGUGAAUACUGGACGUGUAUAUACAAAAACUGGAAGGGGAUGAGUAGAAUUAGAGACAUAGGAAGUUCUAAUGGCUUCUUGAACUCUGUUACGAACAAAGAGCUGGGCAUUUCUGGAGGAUCUUAAAGCUGUCUCUAGAUAGACAGAUGGAUAAAGUGCUGUACUUUUCUUCCAUAACCAGUUAAGCUCAUUAUUUCUUUCUAUUUCAAUAUCUAAACAGGCUCCUGUAUAAUUAUGUGGGUUUUGUUUGUAAUCAUAGUUAUAACAGUCUGGAUAGAGGUAAUAUCCCCACAGACGAUUUGGCUUCAUUUCUAUGCCCAGCUUCAAAGUUUCCAACAUGAAUGAUUUUGCUGCAGCUUCAAAUUCCAUUUUAGCUAUAGUUCUGGCUUCGGCCUCAGAUAGACUGAGGUCUCUCUGCUGAACCAGUUCAAUGGAUUCCUGUCUAUAAAUGUCUUUUGAUCCCCAGUUCCUUAUCCACAUGGGUCUCCAGUUUUCCCAGUCAAUCACGGCCAAUCCAAGCUGUUCAUCUGAAGGAAUGUAGAACUGGAUGUCCUCUUUGGCUUUUCUUAAAUGAUUCUCCAGCAGUGAGAGUUGAGGAAGUCCUCCGUUGAAUGCCUCUCCUGUGACUUCAUUUUUGUAAGGGUAGUAGCCAAGCCUGUCUGGAUAGAAGAGUGUGAUGUUUUGCCCAAUGGAUGUCUUCAGUGUGCUUCCAAUGAGAGGAAAAAAAUUCAUGUCCACCUGCACUCCAGUCCUUUCAGUACAAAGUUCUGUAGGAGCAUUCCAGAUAGAAACAAAAGGUGAAUUAGAAAAAAGUGGACGAGCUCUUAUGGUCAGAGAUGAGCCGCAAGAAACUAGAAGAGCGGUGAACACCACACCAGAUACUACGGGAUACGUACGGGUAACACAGAUGCCAAAGCUUUGUAUUUGCCUUAGAGUUUCCAUUGUAGCAUGUGCAGUGACAUUAGGUUCUUGUGAUUAGACAAAAAUUAAAUGCUCUCUGGGUGUUCAGAAGGUUGGUAGUCUGUCAAAAGCCUUACUGUACAAUAUAUUUCUUCAGAUUAAUACCUAUUAAGCAAUAUUCUUUAGGCAUAAAAUAGGGGUGUCCUUUUUACAGUGCUUUCUGUCAUUUCAGGCUGCAGGAAGCUUCUCAACAAUUUCUGAGACCUAAUGCAGAAAAGGGGGCAAAUGUAAAUAAAGGUAAUGAGUGCAUGAGGACCUGAAGCCUGAAAAAAACUCCAAAGAAAUUUCAUUGCCAGCAUUUCUGACUGUGGAAGAACUCAAAAUGUGCCAAUGAGGUAGAGGUCAAGAACUGAGGAUCCAGGUUGUAGACCGCCCCCCAUAAAAAUGUGUAUGCAAAAGAUUUAGUCACACUACUUUUUCAUUAUUUAAAUGAGUUAAAUAUAUGGUUUUAACUCACUUUA